GGGAUACUAGCUCAGUUGGUAGAGCACUUGACUUUUAAUCAAGUUGUCGGGGGUUCGAAUCCCCCGUGUCUCACUA
rnacentral:tRNA from 2 species